CUGCCCAUAGCUCAGUUGGAUAGAGCAUCAGCCUUCUAAGCUGAGGGUCACAGGUUCGAUUCCUGUUGGGCAGACCA
rnacentral:tRNA from 5 species